CUGACCGAUCUCUCCUGGUGUUCAGAGUCGCUAUCUGUCUAGCACCACCUGAAAUCGGUUAU
rnacentral:pre_miRNA from 1 species